GGCCAUCCAGAUGUAUACGUGUAGGUCACA
rnacentral:piRNA from 1 species